rnacentral:rRNA from 1 species
GGGUUGUGAGGUUAAGCGACUAAGCGUACACGGUGGAUGCCCUGGCAGUCAGAGGCGAUGAAGGGCGUGCUAAUCUGCGAUAAGCGCCGGUAAGGUGAUAUGAACCGUUAUAACCGGCGAUACCCGAAUGGGGAAACCCAGUGUGAUUCGUCACACUAUCAUUAACUGAAUCCAUAGGUUAAUGAGGCGAACCGGGGGAACUGAAACAUCUAAGUACCCCGAGGAAAAGAAAUCAACCGAGAUUCCCCCAGUAGCGGCGAGCGAACGGGGAGGAGCCCAGAGCCUGAAUCAGCAUGUGUGUUAGUGGAAGCGUCUGGAAAGGCGCGCGAUACAGGGUGACAGCCCCGUACACAAAAGCGCAUGUGCUGUGAGCUCGAUGAGUAGGGCGGGACACGUGGUAUCCUGUCUGAAUAUGGGGGGACCAUCCUCCAAGGCUAAAUACUCCUGACUGACCGAUAGUGAACCAGUACCGUGAGGGAAAGGCGAAAAGAACCCCGGCGAGGGGAGUGAAAAAGAACCUGAAACCGUGUACGUACAAGCAGUGGGAGCCCCACCACUAAGCCAGUGGUGAACUCCACAUACGCAUCCUUUGCUGAGGAUACGGUUAACGGAGCGCAAGCGACGUUCAACCUCAAAAGAAGCAGAGGGGGCUUAGUGGUGGGGUGACUGCGUACCUUUUGUAUAAUGGGUCAGCGACUUAUAUUCUGUAGCAAGGUUAACCGAAUAGGGGAGCCGGAGGGAAACCGAGUCUUAAUUGGGCGUUAAGUUGCAGGGUAUAGACCCGAAACCCGGUGAUCUAGCCAUGGGCAGGUUGAAGGUUGGGUAACACUAACUGGAGGACCGAACCGACUAAUGUUGAAAAAUUAGCGGAUGACCUGUGGCUGGGGGUGAAAGGCCAAUCAAACCGGGAGAUAGCUGGUUCUCCCCGAAAGCUAUUUAGGUAGCGCCUCGUGAAUUCAUCUCCGGGGGUAGAGCACUGUUUCGGCUAGGGGGCCAUCCCGGCUUACCAACCCGAUGCAAACUGCGAAUACCGGAGAAUGUUAUCACGGGAGACACACGGCGGGUGCUAACGUCCGUCGUGAAGAGGGAAACAACCCAGACCGCCAGCUAAGGUCCCAAAGUCAUGGUUAAGUGGGAAACGAUGUGGGAAGGCCCAGACAGCCAGGAUGUUGGCUUAGAAGCAGCCAUCAUUUAAAGAAAGCGUAAUAGCUCACUGGUCGAGUCGGCCUGCGCGGAAGAUGUAACGGGGCUAAACCAUGCACCGAAGCUGCGGCAGCGAACGUAUCACUUAAAGCGAUUCAGCGGGUUACGAUUGACGGAGCGAAGCGACGUCAAAGCGUAUACAAAGUCGAGUCGGUUUAAGGAUACGUUCGUUGGGUAGGGGAGCGUUCUGUAAGCCUGUGAAGGUGGCCUGUGAGGGUUGCUGGAGGUAUCAGAAGUGCGAAUGCUGACAUAAGUAACGAUAAAGCGGGUGAAAAGCCCGCUCGCCGGAAGACCAAGGGUUCCUGUCCAACGUUAAUCGGGGCAGGGUGAGUCGACCCCUAAGGCGAGGCCGAAAGGCGUAGUCGAUGGGAAACGGGUUAAUAUUCCCGUACUUGGUGUUACUGCGAAGGGGGGACGGAGAAGGCUAUGUUGGCCGGGCGACGGUUGUCCCGGUUUAAGCGUGUAGGUGUGUGUUCCAGGUAAAUCCGGUUCACUUUAACACUGAGGCGUGACGACGAGGCACUACGGUGCUGAAGCAACAAAUGCCCUGCUUCCAGGAAAAGCCUCUAAGCAUCAGGUAACAUCAAAUCGUACCCCAAACCGACACAGGUGGUCAGGUAGAGAAUACCAAGGCGCUUGAGAGAACUCGGGUGAAGGAACUAGGCAAAAUGGUGCCGUAACUUCGGGAGAAGGCACGCUGACAUGUAGGUGAAGUGAUUUACUCAUGGAGCUGAAGUCAGUCGAAGAUACCAGCUGGCUGCAACUGUUUAUUAAAAACACAGCACUGUGCAAACACGAAAGUGGACGUAUACGGUGUGACGCCUGCCCGGUGCCGGAAGGUUAAUUGAUGGGGUCAGCGCAAGCGAAGCUCCUGAUCGAAGCCCCGGUAAACGGCGGCCGUAACUAUAACGGUCCUAAGGUAGCGAAAUUCCUUGUCGGGUAAGUUCCGACCUGCACGAAUGGCGUAAUGAUGGCCAGGCUGUCUCCACCCGAGACUCAGUGAAAUUGAACUCGCUGUGAAGAUGCAGUGUACCCGCGGCAAGACGGAAAGACCCCGUGAACCUUUACUAUAGCUUGACACUGAACAUUGAGCCUUGAUGUGUAGGAUAGGUGGGAGGCUUUGAAGUGUGGACGCCAGUCUGCAUGGAGCCGGCCUUGAAAUACCACCCUUUAAUGUUUGAUGUUCUAACGUGGACCCGUGAUCCGGGUUGCGGACAGUGUCUGGUGGGUAGUUUGACUGGGGCGGUCUCCUCCUAAAGAGUAACGGAGGAGCACGAAGGUUGGCUAAUCCUGGUCGGACAUCAGGAGGUUAGUGCAAUGGCAUAAGCCAGCUUGACUGCGAGCGUGACGGCGCGAGCAGGUGCGAAAGCAGGUCAUAGUGAUCCGGUGGUUCUGAAUGGAAGGGCCAUCGCUCAACGGAUAAAAGGUACUCCGGGGAUAACAGGCUGAUACCGCCCAAGAGUUCAUAUCGACGGCGGUGUUUGGCACCUCGAUGUCGGCUCAUCACAUCCUGGGGCUGAAGUAGGUCCCAAGGGUAUGGCUGUUCGCCAUUUAAAGUGGUACGCGAGCUGGGUUUAGAACGUCGUGAGACAGUUCGGUCCCUAUCUGCCGUGGGCGCUGGAGAACUGAGGGGGGCUGCUCCUAGUACGAGAGGACCGGAGUGGACGCAUCACUGGUGUUCGGGUUGUCAUGCCAAUGGCACUGCCCGGUAGCUAAAUGCGGAAGAGAUAAGUGCUGAAAGCAUCUAAGCACGAAACUUGCCCCGAGAUGAGUUCUCCCUGAGACUUUAGGUCUCCUGAAGGAACGUUGAAGACGACGACGUUGAUAGGCCGGGUGUGUAAGCGCAGCGAUGCGUUGAGCUAACCGGUACUAAUGAACCGUGAGGCUUAACCUUACAACGCCGAAG